GAACCUGAGCUCUUGCUCUCUCACACACACACACCAGACCAGGCUGUCAGUGGUGUCUGUGGGGACCAAUGUCUCGAACCCGAGCUCGUGCUCACACACACUCACACCAGACCAAGCUGUCAGUGGUGUCUGUAGGGUCCAGUGUCUCGAACCCGUGCUGGAGAAUAACCAUGCGACGCUGUGCAGCUCGUCUCAUUCAUGUUUACUGCUGCGUGGUGCUCCAGCCUGCUGCAGGUGUGUGCACUGAUUGUGCCCUCGUGUCGAUGAUGUCACUGAUGUUCCCGCGGCAGCAGGAUGUUUGCAGCUGCCGCGCUGUUGCCAUGGUGACAAACACAGCUCUCAGCCUGCGCCACUUCCUGUUCCCAAGAGGAGGGGGGAGGUUUCGGGCCUCUCUCGCUCACUCACACCUGGCUCCACCUCUGCAGGUUUAUAAAGCCCUGCCGCCAGCAGCUGUCGCCAUGGCAACAAAACAGGAGUGAGGACUGCUCCCCGACUGUACCCCCGCUCUCGCAGCGCGCCAGGACGAGCCCCCCGGCGGGAGAUGCGUGGUCCUGCUCCCCGCCCGUCUCCCCGGGAGCUGGCUGUUCAAGACCAGCCCUGCACCUCUCUGCUGCUCUUAAAGAGUCUCCGAGCUUCCCUCCCUGAGUGCCGGCGUCUCUGCUUCGCUCUGCUGCCGGAUUUCUGACCCGCUUCGCCAGGACUCCCGCGCCCGGUAUCAGCCUGUGCUCGACCGCAGCUACGCCGCUGCUUCACCGCCAGGGGGCGGCCGCGGGCGCCACUGCCGACCCGGGCCCCCCCGCAAGAAACCACCACAGCUCGAACUGCUCUCCACCGCUUUAUUUCAAGAUCAGGGGUCCUUCAUGUGCAAGUCCUUCGUGCGGGAAGACAGGAGACCCGGCAGGGUUAGAAAAUAAAUAAAAGUCCUAAAGAAAUCAUCCACUUGAUCAAAUAAAUACAUGAACAAAGAUAAAAUACAACAAAAGUAGAGAUUACUGGGCUGCACUGUUUCUGGACAACUGAGAUGCUACCUGUCACCCCCUCCUCCUCCUCCUCCUCAGUGAACUCCCUCAGCUGUCCUCGUCAUGUACAGCUCUUCCCUCCGUUCUUCAUCACCACCAACACAAAACUCAACAACAACAAGAACCGCAACUAAAAAAUAAAAACUCUGUUUCACAGCUCA